AUUCCAUUCCGUGAAUUCCACAGCCCCCACCCCUGCCCUCAGCCUCCUUCAAAGUGGCCGCUGGGGCUGGGGUCUGUCUUUGCAGAGGUGCCAGGCCACAUGCCCUGCCCACCUCUACCAGCUAUGCCGCCUCUGAAGUUCCUCCAGCGGCACUGAGGAGGGGCCCUGUGGUCGAGGGUGCAGUUAAACGAGGCCCGACCGGGUAGUUGAGCUCAGCUUGGCUGUACUUGUCUUCCUUGGACCUGCUGGGCACCCCCAGAAUGGGCAACUGAGGUUGAGAGAAAGGAAAUAACUUGUCCCAGGCCAGCAGCUGAGUCACGACCAAGGCACUUCGUUCUUCAUCUAGUGCGGCCUGUGCAGCCAAAAUGCCUUCCCAUGAGCUUGCCACAUAACCAUGGGUGGCUCACUGGACUUUCAUCUGGGCAAAGAGAAGGGUGUGCUGACACUACUCAUGGCUCCUUCAUCUGGGACCUACCCAAAUCCCGUGGCUUUGCUCACAAUCAUCUGAUCCUGUUGUGCCCAAGAUGCCUGCUCCCAUGCCUGGAUACCUGCUGCAGCUGCUCCAAGCCAGGACCCUGCCAAUCUGUCAUUUUAGAUCUUCAGCUCUGGGUUGGUCUUCCAGGUGCCUCUGCCUCCCAAGGAAACCCAAGGAACUCCGCCAGAAAGGGAAUGCCUAAAAGAGCAGCAGUGGGGACUGUAGGGGUCCUCCUGCCUGCCCCUUUGUUAUCCAGAGUGGGGCCCUGACUUGCCUGAAGUCACACAGGGACUCCGGUAUUCCAAUCCUCGGCCUUAAGAUCGCUGCUAUCCGGUUACUUCUAUCUAAAAGCCCUAGAGAAGUUUCGGGAGACACUCAAAGGGCCCUUGUCUGGUUUCCAGGCUGACCAACUCUAAUGGAGAAAAAGCUCACUCACUAAGCAUACAUCAAAUGCCAGGCGUAUAGAAUCCUUCAGUGGAGGGAUCAUUCUCCCCAUUUUACAGAGGAAUAAAGUGAGGCUCAGAGUGAAUGAAA
rnacentral:lncRNA from 1 species